ensembl:lncRNA
CUGGUCUAUUCAUGAGAACCCCAUGUGCUGUGUGCCCACCAUUGAGGUGCAGAGUAGCAUGGCCACAAAGGAUGGCAGCGUUUCAGAAGGUCCUCUCCUUACAGUUGAAGUCUCUGUUCAGGAUAAAGUUUGUGGUUAAACCACAAAACCAGAAAAUCCAACAAAUGUAGUAAAAUUAUAAAAAAGUGAAAAAAAGGUGUUAAUUAUGGUCUAAACUGCUGAAAUAAAGAGGAAGAGAGUUUUAUAUUGCAAUAUUUAACUUAAAAACAUUUGAUGUUGGUCUUGUUUGUAAAGUAAAUGAUUUGUGUCACGAAUUAACAUCAGACUGAGCGCCUGAAACUUUUUCCAUGAAACUGACUUUGCAAUAAAGUUUAUCUUCCUUGACUAAUACCUACAUUUAAAAUAUUUGUCCUACACUUUUAAAUAAAAUACUGUGCUUCAAAUCUCCAUGAAGUGCUGGUAUUAAAACAGGCCUGAAGGCCCAAACUUUGCUCUUCAGCUCCUGUUAGCACACAGGCUACUUACAGGUGUAAAUUUAAAACAGUUUAAAUCUGCUGGAAGAAAAAAAAAGAGAACGAAACAGCAAAAAACCCAAAUAAACAAAGAAGGAAAAAUACAAAAACUCAACAACAAAACGCACACAAAAUCAAGAAGACAACAGUGCAGUAGCACCCAGUGUUUGAACCCUUCGUGGCCUAAAAUCUGGACGACCAAUUACAGCAAAAAGCAUAUGAUGAAGUCCCUCACAGCCACAGAGCGUUCAUCCUUACAUGUGCGAUGGACAUCUCCGCCAGUCAGUCUUCCUCCCUCGGCUCUGGGCCGAAUUUCAGCGGCGUCGCUGUCGACGUCUGACCGCACUUGUUCCACUUCUCCAUCUUUCACUCUCUCUGCCUCUGCCUCCUCUGAUCCGGCGUCCUUCUUCCUCUCCUUCUUCAACCCUUUCUGUCCGGCCCUCCCUCCGCCUUUACAUUUCCUUCGCCCCUGUCUUUCUCAAUUUCCCCGCCCUCUCUCUCUCUCUUUCUG